rnacentral:tRNA from 2 species
GGAGAACCCCAUUCCUCCCUAAGACU